CUACUUCAUCACAUAUUCGUUAUUUGACUCAAAGACUAGCAGUAGGAUUUUUAACAAUUUAGUUUGUUCCAAGUGGUACUCGGACCCACACACGGUAUACAAAAGUUUCCAGGCUUGCCGCCGUAAUUGGAGACAGUUCUAACCAUGAAGGUAAAUUACCUGACAAAAUCAUGGGCCUCUUUUAUUUUGCAGAGCGAAAGAAGAAUUUAAACGUAUGUACAUUUUGUAUUAUCGUGCUACAUCUUUUCCCGUAAAAGUACAAGGAUGUGCGUGAUAGGCAAAAAUGCUGAACGUUGUCAAGAAUGCAAAAAACGUGCCAUUUGAAUUUUGUCAAGUCAAGGACGCAUGAAAAUAUAUUGUCCUUUGGUCUAAGACCUUGUGGAACAGCUAGACUUUGAACAAGGAGGAUUUGCUAUAUCUCUCUGUAGCACAAGUUGACCUAUGUUAAAGGGAGUUUAUGGAAUGUUAUGGAAAAACUGUUGACUUGUCUUAAUGGACAGGGUGGGCCCUUGUGUGUGUGUGUGUGUGUGUGUGUGUGUGUGUGUGUGUGUGUGUGUGUGUGUGUGUGUGUGUGUGUGUGUGUGUGUGUGUGUGUGUGUGCCUACAGAUCUCCCAUGUGAUGGCGAGUGUGUGGAGGUGAAAAGGAUGGAGGAUGGGGGUAGUUAGUUAUCGUCAUUAGUCAACGCUCAACAAAGCACAGAGAGAAGGAGAGAAGUAAAGGGCUGUUCCUAUUGGACUGGAGGAGAGGACCACCAAUUAACAGCCUCCACUUAGCCGUGCUGCUGAAGGGUGAUAAUUCUGCACAAGGACAUUAAUUGCAGCUGCAGUAUGUAGCCUUGCAGAGGCAGCCAGGGGUCUUUUAUAUAUUGUUUCUAAUGUUUGUAAUUACAGUAGGGCAAGAUGGCCCUAUGCCCGUGCAUGUUUAUGGCCCUGCUGUGAGGAACCCGACUCCUGUGACGACGGAGCAGUGGCAGUGGAACUGUACUGUGUUGACAAGUCAAAAGGCUUGACGAAGAAGGUGCAGACUGCAGAAGGCCGGGGACAUACAGUAUCUGUGAUGUGUGGGUGAACCAAGACACACUGUAGGAUGGCAUAGUAAAACGCAACCAUUUGAGCUAUAAACGCUUUGCAAAGAUGCCCAACUGUUAACAGCAAGCAACAAACUACUUUAAUUGUAUUCUCCAAACUCCAAGUAAGAGCAUACUGUAGGUCCAAAUAUUCAUUUUCUUCGCCUUGACAGUGUGAGGGUAUUCACUUGUUCUACGACUACAUGCAUUUCCACAACAACCUUCACUUUUCAGUUUUUGUUGUUGUUGCAAUUAAUGACGUAAAUGUAACAAUAUCACCAUCCAACAAAUUACAAGACCUAGAAAUGGUUACAACCAUGUAAUCAAGAUAUAACAUUUUCAGAUACAUUCACUGACUAACAGUACUAAAUCUAACACACCACAUGUUCAGAUGCAUUCACUGACUAACAGUACUAAAUCUAACACACGACAUGUUCAGAUACAUUCACUGACUAACAGUACUAAAUCUAACACACGACAUGUUCAGAUACAUUCACUGACUAACAGUACUAAAUCUAACACACCACAUGUUCAGAUACAUUCACUGACUAACAGUACUAAAUCUAACACACGACAUGUUCAGAUACAUUCACUGACUAACAGUACUAAAUCCAACACACCACAUUUUCAGAUACAUUCACUGACUAACAGUACUAAAUCUAACACACCACAUUUUCAGAUACAUUCACUGACUAACAGUACUAAAUCCAACACACGACAUGUUCAGAUACAUUCACUGACUAAAAGUACUAAAUCUAACACACAACUAAAAGUUUAACAAUCUCCUCCUACUGGCAGUCUUUAGUUUGAGAAAAUGGUGGCGAGGAAAGGAGGGAUUGGAGUGGAUAAAAUAGCAAGUGGGAGAUUUCUGGAUAAACCCUCUGACACUCUGCUCCAGUAGCCUACCUCUAACUUUACACUUCUGCAGUCUGCAAUUUUUUCUAGGACAAAAUCGCCAUGGCGACGACUGAGGCCAAAAAAGGGAGGGAAUAUAUGAGUGCUGGAAGAAAAACUAGUAGAGGAUCUCAGCCCAAAUGCUAUCUGGAAUAUCACUCAGCCUGGCAGGUACAUAAAACAAGUAUCCUUCCAAAUGAUGCAUACUCUACUAAGGGGCCCUUUGGACGUGGUACACUACCCAUUACAAACUAUCUAAAACUUGACUAACUAGUGCCUGGAACUAGCCCAAAUGCAAGUUUAUUUUGCUGGUGAUUUGAGUCGCUCAUUUGGUCUGCUGAGGUAAACUGAUUGAGUGCAGGUCAAAGUUGAGACCAAAGGGCCUACAUUGGGGACUUCUAGCGUUAGAGGAGGAAAAUCAUCAUCAUCCCCCAAAACUCUCCCCCAGUCCAAUAUUAUGUCAUUAUUACUAUGCUCAGCGUCUCGGUGGAGCUCGUGUGGUUUCAUGGAUAAAUCUCAUGUGACGUGCCUGAUGACAUCCCGAUAAACGCAGAGAGAAUAAAAUGGCCCCCAAUCCUCAGUGGUCAGCGGCGUAAUGGGCUAAUGGCUUCCAUGAGAGGAGAGGAGAGGAGAGGAGAGGAGAGGAGGGCAUGACUAGGGGGUCUGAGGGGAAACCUACACAGUAUUUCUGCUUCUGCCCUCUCUGGCCCCAUUGUAUUGCAUAUAAUCCUGCUGUACACAGAGACUAGAGGACCUGUAGUGUCCACUGUUACCCACUCUAGUCUUCUUUAGCCUCAGUGCUGUGAACCUGGAAAGCUAGACAACACAAUCUAUAACUGAGGCCAGCCUUAAACAUGCCAAAUUUAAGUUGAUUUAAUUCAUUUACAUGGGAGAGUAUAAUUGAACUCUAGAAUUGUAUGACAAAUAAAAUAUAAAGGGUUCUGUAAACAAACAAACAAACAAACAGCAUUAGUUGUUUUUACAUCGACACAUACAUUUAUGAGCUCUAGGGCUGUCCCUGAAAAAAAUAAUAUUGGUCGACCGAAUGUCGUCUGUUUUUUAACAUGUAUUUCUCCAUAUAUAGACACACCCUAUGUGUUUUAAUAAAAUCAACUAAUUCCAGUUUGUCUGAUGCUUUAAGCUUACGGUUUGAUGCCUGAAGAGGGCGCCAGAGAUCUAGAUAACCAGAAGGAAAAAAAACACUUAACCUGACCCAGCUUUUCUCCUCCCAUUCCUGCUGACUUUCCCAUAUUCUGCCACUACUCUCCUGAAGUUGCCAGUAAUAGGCUACAGUAGGAGUCAGCAACCUUUCUCAUGUGGAAUUCCAAUUUAUCUGACUAUUUCUACUGAUCUGUGUGCCAGUUAUGGUUUUCAUAUGCACAUUUUCAUUUUAAAACAUGUUUUAUAAUAAAGUCUUCAUAUCUCAAAAUCAACAUCAUGUGGUUAAUCAUAAUUCUAUCUAAAUGAAAAUGAUACAAACCUAAAAAGUAACUUCUAUUGCCAUUGCCAAUAUGUAAAAAAUAGCCUAAAUAAAGCCAACAAAUAAAAACAUUGCAGCCUGCAGGUAGAAAAUAUCCUGAUAAAAAUAAAUAUCCUAUGAAUCACAUUGGCUACACAUGGCCAGUCUGCAAGGAACUUGAAACAUUGUGUCAACUAUUAACUAAAUGGGUCCGGUCUGAAGCUUGCCUAGCGAACUUGCAACAUUGUAUAAAAUAUUCUGGGCCCUCAGAGUUUCCCGCAUCGGGACAUUCACAGCUGUAGGCUACUUGCGCUUGGAUAACAAGCAGUGGUUGACUUGGGGAGGAGAUCCCCGGAGCUGAGUACAGGCACCUCAAAUGAUCUACUGCUCGAGCUCCUGUUCCCCUUAUAGAAUAUUAGCUUAGAAGUAUUGUGGAGCUCCUGCACCUAAAUAUAAACAGUACCAGCGCCCAAAAUGAGUACCGGAACCUUUUUCAGUUCAAGUCAAGCACUGAUAAGAAGCCUAUUUUAUGACAUUUCAGAGCAUGACAUUUUACCCUUUCACUCUGAGUAGUUAUCGAAAAGAUGUUUUAAAUACACUGAGAAACUAUUGUAAUUCCCAAUGCAUGUGAAAAGAGACUUUGUUUGCUUGCUGUUUGAGGUGAAGAAAACGUUACUUUGAGAAGCUCCACAGGUCAUUAGUGGUGGUGCGUUAAGCCAACCAGAAGUACUACUAGAUCCCCAAAUGGGCACAUUUCUAUCCCUACAUUUGCUCGUAGCCCAGGUAGCCUAUAGGAAUACUUCUAUGCGUGCGUGUCCUUACUCAACAUUGACAGGAGCGCUCCAAACAAAAGACUCAAUUGUCAAAACUCGUAAAUUAAAUGAAAUCAUCCAAAACUUGUUUCUCACAAGUGUAGCAUAGCUUGUGGACUCUGAAAACAAUGUGUCCACACCGACAAGGAGAACAGGAAUAAGAGAACAGAAUAAUAAUAUUGAAUGCAUUAACAGAAAUGACCGUAACCAAAAUAACAAACAUUGUAGAUAUUAAAUUAUAGGAAUUAACAGUAAAUGUACUACUGGUGAUUAUAUGUAAUGGGGAAUUGAUAUACAAUAACAAUCAAACGCAAACAGUUCACACAAUUAAGUUAUGAAACAAUGAAUGUGCACAUAUUGGGAAAGAGUGCAUUCUGGAGAGAGAAGUGCAUUGUGCUUCUGGGCGUAUGGUCAAUCAGACUCCUGCAUUGGCCAUGCAGCAUUUACGGUGAUACCGCAGAAGUCAGGGCAUUCAUACUUCUUGCGCUUUGCUCAGCAGUGCAGAGCAGUUGUCAAGGAAGUGAGUUUGUGUUUAUACAGGAUGUACUGCCCCCCCACCUACUGUUUUUUUAAUCCAUCUACACACAAUACCCAAUAAUGAAAACACACCUGAGUCAAUAUACUUUGUAGAAGCACCUUUGGCAGUGACUACAGCUAUGAGUCUUUCUAGGCAAGUCUCUAUGAGUUUUCCACACCUGGAUUGUGCAAUAUUUACCAAUUAUUAUUUUCAAAAUUCUUCAAGCUCUGUCAAAUUGGAUAUUGAUCAUUGCUAAAAAAAAAUAUUUUCAGGUCUUUUCAUAGAUUUCCAAGUAGAUAUAAGUCAAAACUGUAACUCAGCCACUCAGGAACAUUCACUGUCUUCUUGGUAAGCAACUUCAGUGUAGAUUUGGCCUUGUGUUUAAGGUUAUUUUCCUGAUGAAAGGUGAAUUCCCAGGUUCUGGUGGAAAGCAGACUGAACCAGGUUUUCCUCUAGGAUUUUGCUUGUGCUUCGCUCCAUUCUGUAUCAUUUUAUCCUUAAUGGUGACAAGCAUACGCAUAACAUGAUGCAGCCACCACUAUGCUUGAAAAUACGGAGAGUAGUUCUCAGUGAUGUGUUGUAUUGGAUUUGCCCCAAAACGUAACACUUUGAAUUCAGGACAUAAAGUUAAUUUCUUUGCCACAUCUUUAGCAGUAUUACUUUAGUGCCUUGUUGCAAACAGGAUACGUGUUUUGGAAUAUUUUCAUUCUGUACAGGCUUCCUUCUUUUCACUCUGUCAAUUAGGUUAGUAUUGUGGAGUAACUACAACUGUUUUAAAAUCACCAUUGGCCUCAUGGUGAAAUCCCUGAGCGGUUUCCUUCCUCUCCGGCAACUGAAUUAGGAAGUACGCCUGUAUCUUUGUAGUGACUGGG
ensembl:lncRNA